rnacentral:rRNA from 1 species
AAGGGCACCACAAGAACGCGUGGAGCAUGUGGCUUAAUUUGACUCAACGCGGGGAAUCUUACCGGGUCCGGACACACUGAGGAUUGACAGACGGUUAUUGACUUAUACUCGCUUAAUAGCUUUAAGCUGUUAAGUGUUUAACACCUUUACACAAAGAUGCUAGUCCUUUCAUGAUCGUUUGAUAGGUGGUGCAUGGCCGUUCUUAGUUCGUGGAGUGAUCUGUCUGCCUAAUUGCGUUUCACUAAGGUCCCAUUCUUCAUACGUAUGAAUAGCGUCUUAACUCACUUUUACCGCUACCUAUUUGUAGUAAGCGCUCAUACUAUUGGGACCGGAAUGCAACGAGCGCGACUGCACCACCUAAUUGCCCCUUAUCUACCAUUAAUUACUUUAUUAACCGCCCUGUACGGGCACCGGGGCCUUACCUUUACUGAAACUAGCUGGACCGCUGCUUUCCUUUAAGCCAGAGGAAGGUUGCGGCAAUAACAGGUCUGUGAUGCCCUCAGAUGUUCCGGGCCGCACACGUGCUACAAUGAUCAGCACAAAGAGUAUUACCUAUCUUCUUAUACCUAACCCAAUAUGUUAAACUUAUUGCGUAAGGAUAUUGUCUUAACGACUUAUCCGCUUUAGCGCUUUAAGAUUAUUGGACGGUUAUGCCUGCCUCGAAAGAGUGUACAGGGCAGCAAGAGUAAUGAUUCCCUCGUUUUUACUACUAAUACCGCGCUUGGUAACAUAUUACACUCGAUUAAGUAGGGUCUUUGCUUUUAAUAGCAAUUGCUAUCCUCACCCUUAGGCUCUAAGGAUAUUACUAUCUCUAAGGUCUACAGGGAGGUGUAUAUGGCGCACUUACUUAUUCACGGUGGGGACAGACCAUUGUUAACUG